UGGCAUCAUUGACCUAAUGUACAUGAGUUUGAGCAAACUCCAGGAGACAGUGAAGGACAGGGAAACCUGGCGUGCUGCAGUCCAUGGGGUCACAGAGUCGAACACAACUGAGCGCCUGAACAACAAGAGAGUCCUUCAAUCAAAUACUGUGAAUUUAUAAAGUAGUUUUAAAAUAUCACUAAAUGCAGGUGCCUAUGAAAAAUUAAUAGUCUUAGAAAGAAAUGGAAAAUUUUAUUUAAGCCAACCUCAGUAUUAUUAUCAGGAGACAGUCUCACAGAGAGCUCUAAGAAUUGUUCAGGAGAGGUAAAGCAGAGACCAGUGUAUAUGUGAUUUUUUGUGAAGGGAAUAUGUGCAAUCACAGAGUCACAAAGAGUCGCUCAGUCAGACAUGACUGAGCGACUGAACUGAACUGAACUGAAUGGGCAAUCAAACACAUAUCUUGGUAGAAGGUCACUGUUAUUUGAAAGGAAAAUUCAUGUUAGUUAAUGGUUUUAGUGCUUUUCUAAAUAUUGGGAAGAGGCACGAUCACAAAUUUUCUCUGGAAAAUAUCUAUCUGAGGGCCAGUUCUGUCAUUUUUCACAGAGCACAGAGUGUCUUAUCCUGAUCUUCACUCUGAAUUCCUUUCCAGAUGUAUUAUAGGUCAGCAACUGCAGUGGCUAAUGACUGGAUUCUUGUAGAACUGGAUGGUGGGCAACAUUCUUUAUUUUACAUUCCCCUCUCUUUUUGUCUUAAUUUCGAUCAAACUUUAGGAGACAUCUCACGAGCAAUUUGUCCCAAGGCACUAAGAAUGCUCGUUCUCAAAUCAGGGAAGAAUUUCAUUGAUGGGACACUCAAUGUUCUAUUCCUGGACUAGGUUAUGCUGUGUUCAUGGGGUGGCCGGCCGGGCUCCUACCUUUGUAAGAUUGAGAAAGAAACAUCACCUUCUAAGGAAUUACAUGGCUGGCACCAGAAGUAGAAAAAUCGAUCUUUAUGGUUGAGAAGGAAAAUAAUCAGGAAGAAUCUCAAUAAGAGGAUGACAUUGAGUAAAGACCUGAAAAGAAGUGAAAGGAUGAGACAUGGGGAAACUAGAAUAACAUCCCUGGUAGAGGGAACAGCUCUGCACUUCCCAUGUGGAACUCCAAGCCUAAGGUGAGGCCGAGGCCAGGACAGAAGUACCAAGACCAUGUGCAUGAAGUCCUUGCUGCCAUCACCAGAGUUGUGGUAUCCAGCGUGCAUCAGAUGCUGAAGGACAUAGACUUUGAGAGAAGAAUCCAGCUGAUAACUUUGAAUGACAAUGGCUAUAAGGCUCCUUGUCAUCUCAGCCAUAAUUGGCACUAUUCUAUGUAUCAUUCUUUCUAGAAAGGGUAGGCAAGUGGUAUGCCCUAAUACACUGGGCUGCUCCUGCCUGCAUUGGGCCAACCACUGAACACGCUGAAGUGGCACAAGCUUCUGCCUUAUUGUGGGCUGACCUCAGAGUGGCCAGACACUACUUAGUGACUAAGCAACAAACCUCAGAGUGGCAGAUGAUGACACCUUCUAUGGUCAGCCCAGCCCUGAAGGUUAUUUAGGAUGAAAAUAUGACCUAAUGCCCAGGAAUAGUGACUGUUAUAGAAUGAAUACUGUGUCCCCCUCCAAUUUAUAUACUGAAGUCCUAGGCCCCGUUGUGUCAGUAUUCAGAGAUGGGGCUUUAGAAGAUGUUAGGGUUUACAUGAGCUCACAAAGUUGGGAUCCCCAUGAUGAGAUUCAGUUCAGUCACUUCAGCCGCUCAGUUGUGUCCGACUCUAUGACCCCAUGAACCACAGCACACCAAGCCUUCCUGUCCAUCACCAACUCCCGGAGUCUACCCAAACUGUCCAUUGAGC